CGAAACCAGGUGAUCUACCCAUGUCCAGGAUGAAGGUAAGGUAAUACUUACUGGAGGUCCGAACCCACGCACGUUGAAAAGUGCGGGGAUGAGGUGUGGGUAGCGGAGAAAUUCCAAUCGAACUUGGAGAUAGCUGGUUCUCUCCGAAAUAGCUUUAGGGCUAGCCUCGAGGUAAAGAGUCAUGGAGGUAGAGCACUGUUUGGACUAGGGGCCCUUCUCGGGUUACCGAAUUCAGAUAAACUCCGAAUGCCAUGUACUUAUACUCGGGAGUCAGACUGCGAGUGAUAAGAUCCGUAGUCGAAAGGGAAACAGCCCAGACCACCAGUUAAGGUCCCCAAAUAUAUGUUAAGUGGAAAAGGAUGUGGGGUUGCUUAGACAACCAGGAUGUUGGCUUAGAAGCAGCCACCAUUGAAAGAGUGCGUAAUAGCUCACUGGUCGAGUGACCCCGCGCCGAAAAUGUACCGGGGCUAAACAUAUUACCGAAACUGUGGAUGAACCUCUUCGGAGGUUCGUGGUAGGAGAGCGUUCUAAGGGCGGUGAAGUCAGACCGGAAGGACUGGUGGAGCGCUUAGAAGUGAGAAUGCCGGUAUGAGUAGCGAAAGAAGGGUGAGAAUCCCUUCCACCGAAUAUCUAAGGUUUCCUGAGGAAGGCUCGUCCGCUCAGGGUUAGUCGGGACCUAAGCCGAGGCCGAUAGGCGUAGGCGAUGGACAACAGGUAGAGAUUCCUGUACCAGUGCUAAUUGUUUAACCGAUGGGGUGACACAGAAGGAUAGGGAAUCGCACGAAUGGAAAUGUGCGUCCAAGCAGUGAGUGUGAGAAGUAGGCAAAUCCGCUUCUCGCGAAGCAUGAGCUGUGAUGGGGAAGGAAAUUAAGUACGGAAGUUCCUGAUUUCACGCUGUCAAGAAAAGCCUCUAGGAAGAGUAGUACUGCCCGUACCGCAAACCGACACAGGUAGAUGAGGAGAGAAUCCUAAGGUGAGCGAGAGAACUCUCGUUAAGGAACUCGGCAAAAUGACCCCGUAACUUCGGGAGAAGGGGUGCUCUAUUAGGGUGCAAGCCCGAGAGAGCCGCAGUGAAUAGGCCCAGGCGACUGUUUAGCAAAAACACAGGUCUCUGCAAAACCGUAAGGUGACGUAUAGGGGCUGACGCCUGCCCGGUGCUGGAAGGUUAAGAGGAGUGCUUAGCUUCGGCGAAGGUACGAAUUGAAGCCCCAGUAAACGGCGGCCGUAACUAUAACGGUCCUAAGGUAGCGAAAUUCCUUGUCGGGUAAGUUCCGACCCGCACGAAAGGCGCAACGAUCUGGGCACUGUCUCAACGAGAGACUCGGUGAAAUUAUAGUACCUGUGAAGAUGCAGGUUACCCGCGACAGGACGGAAAGACCCCGUGGAGCUUUACUGCAACCUGAUAUGGAAUGUUUGUACCGCUUGUACAGGAUAGGUAGGAGCCGAAGAGACGUGUGCGCUAGCAUACGAGGAGGCAAUGGUGGGAUACUACCCUGGCUGUAUGACCAUUCUAACCCGCCACGCUUAGCGCGUGGGGAGACAGUGUCAGGUGGGCAGUUUGACUGGGGCGGUCGCCUCCUAAAGAGUAACGGAGGCGCCCAAAGGUUCCCUCAGAAUGGAUGGAAAUCAUUCGCAGAGUGUAAAGGCACAAGGGAGCUUGACUGCGAGACUGACAAGUCGAGCAGGGACGAAAGUCGGGCUUAGUGAUCCGGUGGUUCCGCAUGGAAGGGCCAUCGCUCAACGGAUAAAAGCUACCCCGGGGAUAACAGGCUUAUCUCCCCCAAGAGUCCACAUCGACGGGGAGGUUUGGCACCUCGAUGUCGGCUCGUCGCAUCCUGGGGCUGUAGUCGGUCCCAAGGGUUGGGCUGUUCGCCCAUUAAAGCGGCACGCGAGCUGGGUUCAGAACGUCGUGAGACAGUUCGGUCCCUAUCCGUCGCGGGCGCAGGAAAUUUGAGAGGAGCUGUCCUUAGUACGAGAGGACCGGGAUGGACACACCGCUGGUGUACCAGUUGUUCCGCCAGGAGCAUCGCUGGGUAGCUAUGUGUGGCAGGGAUAAACGCUGAAAGCAUCUAAGCGUGAAGCCCCCCUCAAGAUGAGAUUUCCCAUUUCUUCGGAAAGUAAGAUCCCUGAAAGAUGAUCAGGUAGAUAGGUUUGGAGUGGAAGUGUAGCGAUACAUGGAGCGGACAAAUACUAAUCGAUCGAGGACUUAACCAA
rnacentral:rRNA from 1 species